CCGGUGCCGCCCGACCCCUCCUCAGCGCUGAGGGGGCAGGUAACGGUCACACAGCGGCGGGCGGCGGCGGCCGGAGGGGACCGGCUGGAGAACGGCGCUUGGGGCCCUGGGAGGCGUCUGGCUGCCGGUCCCUGGGUGCGCUCGCCCCGCUGCUUCCCCUUAGGACUUAGAGAUCUGGUUCGAAGCCGGGAGGCGGUACCGCCUCAGCUGCUCGCCUUCCCAAGCCUCGGUGAGCUGGUGCGCCACGCCGCUCUCCUUCGCAGGGGCAAAGGUAGCGGCUGAAAACGGGAAGGGCUGGCUGCUAGAGAUUGCCCUGUGCCCGGGCGCGGCUGAGGCCGUUUCGGACCACAGCCGAGGCGCGACAGGAAAGGGUUAGCCCUAACCCCUUCAUUCUCUACCGGGCACCAGGCCCCAGAGUGCCAAUAUCCUGCGGUGUCGAACAGCUCGCAUUUGAUAAGUUUCUCAAAAACGCCAUUGUCCGCUUCGCAGUCCCCGCAUUUGACAGGGAUAACACUGCUUGUUUGGCACAGCAGCUACAGAAAUGUGUAACUCCUUGUUUACCCUGUGGAGCACAAAUUCACCUCCAGAACAUGUAACUUUCUUCCAGCUGAAGAGGGUAUACAAUUCUCAGCUUCACAGCAAUUCACCUCAUCUUGUCUAGCAUGAUACUGGAUGCAGUCCUGGAACAAUGCAGAGAGAAUUUAUAACCUGGGAGGAGUACUCUCACACAAGGGAGAGAUGUGAAGAAGUGAUGUGCUCAGGCUGAUCACUUCCAUACUAAUGGACAACAAUGAGCAUUUAAACGCUAAUGGAAAUCAAUUGCACAAAAAAGCAGAAAGAAGACAUGUAGAUCUUCACUGGUACAAUGCCUCAACUGCAUCAAAAUCUAUUUCAGUACAACGGGGGAAUUAGCCUGUUAAAUUGUAUAAUGAAAACAUGAGUCAUGUCAAGUGAAAGGACUAAAAGGGUGAACCAUGUGAUGAAGUACAGAAACACAGGCACUUUGGAAGAAUGCUAGAAUUCUCAAGUUUGAGAUAGUGAUAAGAGAUCUGAUUGUUGAAUCAAGGCUUCUUCAUGUACACAGAUGUUUUUGUUUGUUUUGAGCGUUUAAUCAUAGACCCACUUCAACCAAUGGUAAUAACUUUGUCAUUUAUCCAAGAAGCUGAGCAGAAGUUACGUAUUGUUUCAUUCAGGUAAAAGUGAUAGUCAAAGCUCCAAGUUUAAGGAAAGGAAAAAUGGAUAGAUUUCUACAAAAGAAAAAAAAAAAAAAAAGAAAAAAGAGGUGUUUGAAAAGGUUUUCUGCCCCAUAAGCACUUUCAAAGCAAAGCUUCCUAGUAACUGUUAAAAAUAAAACUGGAUCUUUGUGUUAGAAUAUUUAGAAAUAAAUGUAUUGAUUUUAUUAUAAAGCU